UUGAAACACUGGUUCCUGUAUGAUCAUUGAAGUUAAGUAAUGUCGAGCCUGGUCAAUACCUAGAUGGGUAUCCACUUGGGAAUACCAGAUGUUGCAAA